AUGCACCCGCCCUGCUCAGGGUGCGGGGGCCAUGGGGGGGGGCCCGGGGGGCUCGGCCGCCUGCGGGAGAGAGCGGCAGCGGUGAGGCCACGCGGCGCCCCCCCGGUGCCCCCCAAAUUCCCCAUCCGCGUGCCAGGGGCACCAUGGGGUGGGGGUGGGGGCUGCAAGCACGCUGCAAGCAAGCGCCCCCCCCUCACCCCCUCACCGCCAGCGGAUAGGGGAUGGGGGCGUUGGGGACCCCCGCGUCUUCGCAAGCGGGGUUGCCAAGGGAACGCCGGCAUCGGCACGGCACCGGCGGCAGGCCCCAUAGGACCCGCAGCAGGCCCUAUAACCCCGGCAUCAGGCCCUAUAACACCGGACUCGUGCCCCAUAGCACCGGAAUCAGGCCCCAUGGCACCGGCAUCGUGCCCCACGGCACCGGCACGGCGCCCCACGGCACCGGCACGGUGUUGGCACGGCGCCCCAUGGCACGGCACCCCGUGGCACGGCACCCCAAUGCCCAGCACCCCGUGGCCCCGCUCCUGCCGGCCCCGGCCCCGCUCCCCGAGCCUCCCCUCCUGCGGCAGCGUUCCUCCCCGCCGCCGGAAUCCCUUCCCGCGGCCCUGCGGCACCGGCACCGCUCCCGUGGGAUCCCCCUGCCUAUGGAUCCCCCCUUCCUAUGGGGUCCCCCUUCCUAUGGGGUUCCCCUUCCUACGGGUCCCCAUUCCUAUGGGACCCUCUUUCCUAUGUGACACCCAUUCCUAUGGGGUCCCCUUUCCUAUGGAUCCCCCUUCCUAUGGGACCCCCUUCCUAUGGGACCCCCUUCCUAUGGGACCCCCUUCCUAUGGAUCCCCCUUCCUAUGGAUCCCCCUUCCUAUGGGACCCGCUUCCUAUGGGACCCCUUUCCUAUGGGGUCCCCUUUCCUAUGGAUCCCCCUUCCUAUGGGACCCCUUUCCUAUGGGACCCGCUUCCUAUGGAUCCCCCUUCCUAUGGGAUCCGCUUCCUAUGGAUCCCCCUUCCUAUGGGAUCUGCUUCCUAUGGGAUCUGCUUCCUAUGGGGUCCCCUAUCCUAUGGAUCCCCCUUCCUAUGGAUCCCCUUUCCUAUGGGACCCCCUUCCUAUGGGACCCCCUUUCCUAUGGAUCCCCCUUCCUAUGGGACCCCUUUCCUAUGGGACCCGCUUCCUAUGGAUCCCCCUUCCUAUGGGAUCCGCUUCCUAUGGGAUCCCCCUUCCUAUGGGAUCCCCAUUCCUACAGAUCCCCAUUCCUACGGGACCCCACUUCCUACGGGAUCCCUUCUCUCACCGGAUCCCCUUUCCUAUAG
rnacentral:lncRNA from 1 species